GAGUUGUUGCCCCUCGCAUAAUAAUUGAAUCGGGUUUCUCCUGCCAACAACUAAAAAAAUUAAAGCAAGCCAUUGGAAAAAAUAGAACAGAAAAUCGUCUUUAGAGCAUCGUCCUUCAUCAUGACGCAGUACUUCGAGGAAGAACAAGCGCCACACAGAGGGGCCCUUUGAAGCUCGUAUCGGUCAAGGCCGAGGCUUGUUUUCGUUGCUUACCAUUUCCUGCAUGCUGUAAUGAUUAUAACGUACGUUUAUGCAACCUUAAAGAAUAAUCAAUGAACAAUCACGGAGCGCUCAUUGCAUUCAGUCGACACCCCUCCAAAGCUGCGCAGCGAACAAGAUGAAUGAUCAAUCAAAGUUGUUUUGAGCCCUUCGGGCGGACUGAGCAGUGGUAACAAUUACGGAAGAGGGGAGGACGUGUAUCUCUUGGCGUCCACAGUCUCAGCGUACAAUUUAUAUCUCUGUGCUAGGCGUUUGCUCUCGCUUUGAUUCUCGCCAUUUGUGGAGAUAUGUUUGGAAAAACGUAUGUGUGGCGAGGUGAUCCACGCGCUCGACAAAGUCCUAGUAUUUUUCCAGUAAGUUCUUCUGGUCAGUAGCAGAUGUCUGGCAAAUUCAUCUAUCGCUGAAGAGGCACAGAUGACAAGCGACAUGUCAGGCAGACAGUCGCCGGGGGGACUAGGACCAGCGCCGCCUUACCACACUUCGAGAUAAGCCUAAACGCUGGCUUUAUUCAUCCGUCCUAUUUAAUGAGAUUAUACGUAUCUUGUAUUUGACGAGGAAUUAUAGGCGUACAAAGAUGUUAUAAUAUUGUGAGUGGCUAUUGUAAUGCAGAUGUAUUUGUCAGCUAAGCGAAAACUGUUCGAGGAAGAUUGUGGCGAUAAAAAGAUCCACUGCUGACUUGGACACUUCUUGAACGUGAAGGAAGAUUAAAGUAUCGUUCCAUGAAUAAAUACAAUGAGCAUUGUCUAGAGAGACAAUACGCUUAACGCAACGUUCCUAUUUUAGAUUGACUCGCUUAGGACGUUAUUUAUGGCGUAGGCGUUCAUUUGGGCUGAAAUGAACGCAUUGUAGAACAGCGUAGUAUUUUAUGGAGAAUCUACGAAAGGAAAGACGUACUGCACACAAGCGAGCG
rnacentral:lncRNA from 1 species